GGGUUGUGAGGUUAAGCGACUAAGCGUACACGGUGGAUGCCCUGGCAGUCAGAGGCGAUGAAGGACGUGCUAAUCUGCGAUAAGCGUCGGUAAGGUGAUAUGAACCGUUAUAACCGGCGAUUUCCGAAUGGGGAAACCCAGUGUGAUUCGUCACACUAUCAUUAACUGAAUCCAUAGGUUAAUGAGGCGAACCGGGGGAACUGAAACAUCUAAGUACCCCGAGGAAAAGAAAUCAACCGAGAUUCCCCCAGUAGCGGCGAGCGAACGGGGAGGAGCCCAGAGCCUGAAUCAGUGUGUGUGUUAGUGGAAGCGUCUGGAAAGGCGCGCGAUACAGGGUGACAGCCCCGUACACAAAAAUGCACAUGCUGUGAGCUCGAUGAGUAGGGCGGGACACGUGGUAUCCUGUCUGAAUAUGGGGGGACCAUCCUCCAAGGCUAAAUACUCCUGACUGACCGAUAGUGAACCAGUACCGUGAGGGAAAGGCGAAAAGAACCCCGGCGAGGGGAGUGAAAAAGAACCUGAAACCGUGUACGUACAAGCAGUGGGAGCACAGAGCAAUCUGUGUGACUGCGUACCUUUUGUAUAAUGGGUCAGCGACUUAUAUUCUGUAGCAAGGUUAACCGAAUAGGGGAGCCGAAGGGAAACCGAGUCUUAACUGGGCGUUAAGUUGCAGGGUAUAGACCCGAAACCCGGUGAUCUAGCCAUGGGCAGGUUGAAGGUUGGGUAACACUAACUGGAGGACCGAACCGACUAAUGUUGAAAAAUUAGCGGAUGACUUGUGGCUGGGGGUGAAAGGCCAAUCAAACCGGGAGAUAGCUGGUUCUCCCCGAAAGCUAUUUAGGUAGCGCCUCGUGAAUUCAUCUCCGGGGGUAGAGCACUGUUUCGGCAAGGGGGUCAUCCCGACUUACCAACCCGAUGCAAACUGCGAAUACCGGAGAAUGUUAUCACGGGAGACACACGGCGGGUGCUAACGUCCGUCGUGAAGAGGGAAACAACCCAGACCGCCAGCUAAGGUCCCAAAGUCAUGGUUAAGUGGGAAACGAUGUGGGAAGGCCCAGACAGCCAGGAUGUUGGCUUAGAAGCAGCCAUCAUUUAAAGAAAGCGUAAUAGCUCACUGGUCGAGUCGGCCUGCGCGGAAGAUGUAACGGGGCUAAACCAUGCACCGAAGCUGCGGCAGCGACGCUUAUGCGUUGUUGGGUAGGGGAGCGUUCUGUAAGCCUGCGAAGGUGUGCUGUGAGGCAUGCUGGAGGUAUCAGAAGUGCGAAUGCUGACAUAAGUAACGAUAAAGCGGGUGAAAAGCCCGCUCGCCGGAAGACCAAGGGUUCCUGUCCAACGUUAAUCGGGGCAGGGUGAGUCGACCCCUAAGGCGAGGCCGAAAGGCGUAGUCGAUGGGAAACAGGUUAAUAUUCCUGUACUUGGUGUUACUGCGAAGGGGGGACGGAGAAGGCUAUGUUGGCCGGGCGACGGUUGUCCCGGUUUAAGCGUGUAGGCUGGUUUUCCAGGCAAAUCCGGAAAACUAAGGCUGAGGCGUGAUGACGAGGCACUACGGUGCUGAAGCAACAAAUGCCCUGCUUCCAGGAAAAGCCUCUAAGCAUCAGGUAACAUCAAAUCGUACCCCAAACCGACACAGGUGGUCAGGUAGAGAAUACCAAGGCGCUUGAGAGAACUCGGGUGAAGGAACUAGGCAAAAUGGUGCCGUAACUUCGGGAGAAGGCACGCUGAUAUGUAGGUGAAGCGACUUGCUCGUGGAGCUGAAAUCAGUCGAAGAUACCAGCUGGCUGCAACUGUUUAUUAAAAACACAGCACUGUGCAAACACGAAAGUGGACGUAUACGGUGUGACGCCUGCCCGGUGCCGGAAGGUUAAUUGAUGGGGUCAGCGCAAGCGAAGCUCUUGAUCGAAGCCCCGGUAAACGGCGGCCGUAACUAUAACGGUCCUAAGGUAGCGAAAUUCCUUGUCGGGUAAGUUCCGACCUGCACGAAUGGCGUAAUGAUGGCCAGGCUGUCUCCACCCGAGACUCAGUGAAAUUGAACUCGCUGUGAAGAUGCAGUGUACCCGCGGCAAGACGGAAAGACCCCGUGAACCUUUACUAUAGCUUGACACUGAACAUUGAGCCUUGAUGUGUAGGAUAGGUGGGAGGCUUUGAAGUGUGGACGCCAGUCUGCAUGGAGCCGACCUUGAAAUACCACCCUUUAAUGUUUGAUGUUCUAACGUUGACCCGUAAUCCGGGUUGCGGACAGUGUCUGGUGGGUAGUUUGACUGGGGCGGUCUCCUCCUAAAGAGUAACGGAGGAGCACGAAGGUUGGCUAAUCCUGGUCGGACAUCAGGAGGUUAGUGCAAUGGCAUAAGCCAGCUUGACUGCGAGCGUGACGGCGCGAGCAGGUGCGAAAGCAGGUCAUAGUGAUCCGGUGGUUCUGAAUGGAAGGGCCAUCGCUCAACGGAUAAAAGGUACUCCGGGGAUAACAGGCUGAUACCGCCCAAGAGUUCAUAUCGACGGCGGUGUUUGGCACCUCGAUGUCGGCUCAUCACAUCCUGGGGCUGAAGUAGGUCCCAAGGGUAUGGCUGUUCGCCAUUUAAAGUGGUACGCGAGCUGGGUUUAGAACGUCGUGAGACAGUUCGGUCCCUAUCUGCCGUGGGCGCUGGAGAACUGAGGGGGGCUGCUCCUAGUACGAGAGGACCGGAGUGGACGCAUCACUGGUGUUCGGGUUGUCAUGCCAAUGGCACUGCCCGGUAGCUAAAUGCGGAAGAGAUAAGUGCUGAAAGCAUCUAAGCACGAAACUUGCCCCGAGAUGAGUUCUCCCUGACUCCUUGAGAGUCCUGAAGGAACGUUGAAGACGACGACGUUGAUAGGCCGGGUGUGUAAGCGCAGCGAUGCGUUGAGCUAACCGGUACUAAUGAACCGUGAGGCUUAACCUUACAACGCCGAAGGUGUUU
rnacentral:rRNA from 1 species